UACGUAGGCAGCGAGCGUUGUUCGGAGUUACUGGGCGUAAAGAGUGUCGUAGGCGGUUUUCUAAGUUUGGUGUGAAAUCUCCCGGCUUAACUGGGAGGGUGCGCCGAAGACUGGAAGGCUUGAGUAUGGGAGAGGUAAGCGGAAUUCCUGGUGUAGCGGUGAAAUGCGUAGAUAUCAGGAGGAACACCUGCGGUGUAGACGGCUUACUGGACCAUCACUGACGCUGAGGCACGAAAGCGUGGGGAUCAAACAGG
rnacentral:rRNA from 1 species